AGCAGGAUAGGAUAAGUUUAGUCUAUAAGGUUCAUGUCCUUUGGGUGUUUUCUCUUGUUG
rnacentral:tRNA from 1 species